GACGAACGCUGACGGCGUGCUUAACACAUGCAAGUCGAAGGGAGUGGCGAACGGGUAAGUAACACGUGAGUAACCUGCCCUUUUCUUUGGGAUAAGCCUGGGAAACUGGGUCUAAUACUGGAUGGCUUGGGAUGGGGUCGCGGCUUAUCCGCUUGUUGGUGGGGGGAUGGUUUCCCAAGGCUUCGACGGGUAGCCGGCCUGAGAGGGUGGUCGUGCACACUGGGAUGGAGAUACGGCCCAGACUCCUACGGGAGGCAGCAGUGGGGGAUAUUGCACAAUGGACGAAAGGCUGAUGCAGCGACGUCGUGUGGGGGAUGAAGGCCUUCGGGUUGUAAAGUACUUUCAGCGGGGAGGCGUUACCCGCAGAAGAAGCACCGGCUAACUCCGUGCCAGCAGCCGCGGUAAUAC
rnacentral:rRNA from 1 species